UGAAGGCAUGACAGCUUUGCUCUCUUGGAAGACACACACAGCACCAGCAGCAGUUUCUUAAGUCAAGCUAUAUCAAGAAGCUAUCUAUUUAUCACACCAAAAUGAUGAUGUUGUGGAUUUGUCUGCUGAUUGGUAGCAUCUCCUGUAGUCCUGUAAAUAAAGGUAAGA